UAGAGGUUUAUAACGGAUGACAGUACAGUAUAGAGGUUUAUAACGGAUGACAGUACAGUAUAGAGAGAGGUUUAUAACGGAUGACAGAGAGGUUUAUAAUGGAUGACAGUAUAGUAUAGAGAUUUAUAACAGUUGACAUUAGAGGUUUAUAACGGAUGACAGUACAGUAUAGAGGUUUAUAACGGAUGACAGUACAGUAUAGAGAGAGGUUUAUAACGGAUGACAGUACAGUAUAGAGAGAGGUUUAUAACGGAUGACAGUACAGUAUAGAGAGAGGUUUAUAAUGGAUGACAGUACAGUAGAGAGGUUUAUAACGGAUGACAGUACAGUAUAGAGGUUUAUAACGGAUGACAGUAUAGUUUAGAGGUUUAUAAUGGAUGACAGUAGAGUAGAGAGGUUUAUAACGGAUGACAGUACAGUAUAGAGAGAGGUUUAUAACGGAUGACAGUACAGUAUAGAGGUUUAUAACGGAUGACAGUACAGUAUAGAGGUUUAUAACGGAUGACAGUACAGUAUAGAGAGAGGUUGACUGCUGUUGCCACAUUCUUUUCAA
rnacentral:lncRNA from 1 species